AUACGUAGGGGGCGAGCGUUGUCCGGAAUGAUUGGGCGUAAAGGGCGCGUAGGCGGCCCGGUAAGUCUGGAGUGAAAGUCCUGUUUUUAAGAUGGGAAUUGCUUUGGAUACUGUCGGGCUUGAGUGCAGGAGAGGUAAGUGGAAUUCCCAGUGUAGCAGUGAAAUGCGUAGAGAUUGGGAGGAACACCAGUGGCGAAGGCGACUUACUGGACUGUAACUGACGCUGAGGCGCGAAAGUGUGGGGAGCAAACAGGAUUAGAUACCCUGGUAGUCCACACUGUAAACGAUGAAUGCUAGGUGUAGGGGGUAUCGACCCCUUUUGUGCCGCAGUCAACACAAUAAGCAUUCCGCCUGGGGAGUACGGCCGCAAGGUUGAAACUCAAAUGAAUUGACGGGG
rnacentral:rRNA from 1 species